rfam:Triticum urartu cultivar G1812 contig81339, whole genome shotgun sequence.
UAUAUACUCCCUCUGUCCCGAAUUACUUGUCGCAGAAAUGGACGUAUCGUCUAGAUACAUCCAUUUCUGCGACAAGUAAUUCGGGACGGAGGGAGUAAUAU